UACGUAGGGAGCGAGCGUUGUCCGGAUUUACUGGGCGUAAAGCGCGUUCAGGCGGUUUGGCAAGUCGGGCAUGAAAUCUCUCGGCUAACCGGGAGAGGUUGUCCGAUACUUCCAGACUUGAGGGCAGUAGAGGGUGGUGGAAUUCCGGGUGUAGUGGUGAAAUGCGUAGAUAUCCGGAGGAACACCAGUGGCGAAAGCGGCCACCUGGACUGCACCUGACGCUGACACGCGAAAGCUAGGGGAGCGAACGGG
rnacentral:rRNA from 1 species